GGUAACCACAUAUACGCUGAGGUGCUAGAAAUAAUAUCAACAGCUUCAUGGAAUGUAUUGAAGAAGGUGAUGUCAUCAUGACUCCAGCAACUCCACUUACGCAUCCAGCAAUCUUGCAGGGAAUAGUUCUAAACCAUCGGCUUCAGUUGGCAUGUUAUCUGAAGGUCGUACUUCCCAUUACAGGCCGGCGAGAUGGCAGAUUCGGUUAGUGAGAAGAUCGUCCAAAAGAACAUCGUCGAGAAAGACGAGCUGAUGCAAAGAGGUUUGAACCAUUUGUUCCUGUUAUUGCCCCAGUGAGUGAGGGAAAGAAAGGCAGGAAGAAGUGAUCCCUUCUGUUAGCUUCUCGUGGCCAGGGUCGCAAUGUACGUGGAGGUGUUCAAUAGAGGGGACAUUUUGCCGCCCUAUAGCAUCAGGAAGAGGAACAGCAGGACCGGGCUGCGCUUCACCUAUAACGAUGGCAUCUGCCUGAACUCAGUUAACCUGAACUCCAUAACUGAAGCUAUGUUUAUUCUGUGCCUUUGAAGAUGUAUAGUGGUGGUGCAGACGAACUGAUCUUCCUGUUCGUACUCCUACAUUGCAUAUCUGAAUUUGGCCAAGAAUGGACCCCAAUGCUUCUCUUGCCUCAGAGGCAUGUUGAUAUGAAGCAAAUAAAAGGCAUGCAAUGCUUUACGAUUUGAGCCUCCCCCCCUCCGGCCUGCCCGUCGGCGGCACACUACUCUUCCGGCCGCCCCUGAGCCCACGCGGCUCGCGGGAUCAUGCGCAGCCCCAGAGCAGCACGCAGCUCGCCGGACGUGAUGGCCAGAUCGCCGCGAGCCCCUACCCCGACCCCAAGGUUGCUGGCAGCAUCAACCCCGAUGGCGAGGUCACCGUCACCCCCAACCUUGACGCCCAGGUCAGCAGAAGGUACAUUUGAUUGCUGGUACAUUUGUUGUCUGAAGGCCCAAAGUUUUUAAAUCUAACUGAAACCAAAGCCUUGUGAUUUAUCCAACUGAAGAUCCAAAGCUUGUAGUUAAAAUGAUAGUUAGGUGGUACAAGGACCGGCAUCAUGUGUACCUCAUUCAUGUGGAUACUAAAAUGUGCUCUCAUCCGCUAUUUUGCUAGGACUUCUUUGUUCUCUUUCUUAAUGCAGUCGUUGAUAAGAUAAUUUUUAUAAUGUUGUAAGACCGUAGAGAACAUAUGUUUCAUAGUCAGUAGAAUUGAGAACAUUGUACAUUGUACACCCUGUGCCGUUAACAAAGAUGUUCUCAGUUCUCCUUAAUUUGGUCUGCCUAAGCCAUAGAAAAUGUGUCCACUGCCUAAUCAGGUGUUUAGUAAUUCAUUAGAGUGUGGAUUUUGUUUCGUCACGUUAGUAGAACCAGUAGCACCGUGGGUCAUUUUGGUACUGCUAAAAUUUGGUCUUCCAUAAGAGAAUGGUUUGUGAACAACAUUUUAUUUUGAUGGAUCUAUGGAAUUGAUUUUAACAACAUUGUGGACCUGAACUGUUGUAUGACAGGGUUAGUAUUGGUUGCCUAUUCUCACUAGCCAAAAAAUUGUACAAUGUACUAAUAAAGGGAAAACAUCCGAUCAACAAUCAAAAGUGUCUCGUGACAAAGUUUUGGAUUUGCAUCUGUCACCAACUAUGUAGAGUAUCUAUUUGAAACAUUACAAACCCCAACAUUGGUCUUUCCAUUAACUGUUUCACUAACACCCAGAGUUGGUACUGGUCUUUACAUGAAACAAAGAAGUGUUGCUCGUAUUGUAUAUUGCAGAAGGUAGAUUAAGUGAGGUGACCUACUUGCUCACUAAUUAUUUGCUAUUGACUUUCUUAACCAUCAUCCUAUGCCUUCGUGUUUGUUAGGGUUUAUAUUUUGUUGCAUUAACUAAAGCACCAUGUUUUUUUAUUUUACUCCUCUGUUCAUUUUUAUAAGGUGUGGAUGGAAGAGUGACAAUAACUACAGGUUGGUCAAAGAUUGAAAGAAAUUCUCCUUUAAAUUAGUUUGGUCAAAGACAUGUAUGUUUCCUUGGUCUACAGAAUGUCAGUUUACUAAUCUUGCUAAAUGUUUCCAGGAAUAUGUUGCUUGAUGUUAGUUUACUAAUCUUGCCUUCUUGAUAGUUUCAUCUUGGUCACUGUAGAUGUCUAUUGUUGUAAAAAUGUUGAGAUAUCUUCUCCAGGAAUAUGGUUUUUUCUUCACUUUCAGGCCAAUGCUACUCAACUUUUCUUUGAACGACCUUUUCUUUGCGUGACAAGGAAUUUCAACCGUCCUUGGCGAAGGACUGCUAUCUGAUUGUCACUAGCCUCCUGUGUAAAUGCUUCGCUUUUAAUAGUUUGCACUGUCUUGCUGCCUAUGUGCUACUCAAGCCUGAUCUAUUAAACAUUACUUGGCCUAUUCCUUUGUGCCGAGUUUGAUGUGCCUCAAUUGUACUCUGUGAUAUGUACUUUGAUUAGAAAAUUCACGAGGUUAAAGAUUUGC